rnacentral:tRNA from 1 species
GCCUGGGUGGCUCAGUCGGUUGAGCGUCCGACUUCGGCUCAGGUCAUGAUCUCACAGUCUGUGGGUUCAAGCCCCGCAUCAGGCU